rnacentral:lncRNA from 1 species
UCUGGGUCCCAAGCGCAGGCAGAUGGGGAGGUGUGGGGGCAUCAGGAGAGGAAGAGCUAGCUUUCCACUUUCUCUUUUUGAUACAAAAAUAAAAGUCAUCUGGCUUUGACUGCAGAAAAUGAAUCAUAUUAAGUAUUUUAAAAGCACUAUUUUUUUGGUAAGACCUAAUUUCAGACCAAUUAACACUUUAAUAUGAAACAGAAGCACAUCAUUUCAUUAGGAGGCAAAAUAAGGCCUCUCGGCUACCAUAUGUUGUCUCUUCCUUUGCAAGAAAGGAAAAAAGAAAAAAAUCUCAUUUGAAAGCUCCUAUUGUAGAUUGAGCUACAAGAGGGAAUGUAAAUUUGGCACCAUCACCCACCCCAGGUGAGCAGAACGCAUUGAGGAGCCACACAAUCACAGGGUUUUGUUUUUGUAUUUUUGGCAAUGCCCAUAUUCACUCUGUUCGGUAACAGAAGAUCUGGCUGUUGCCCUAGAAAGCUGAAGAGAAACAUUCUUUUGUGAAAACAGAAGUGAAAAGAAUCUUUUAGUAUGUUCUUCCUAAGAAUGUCUAUGCUGACACGAAGGGCAAAGAAACACUUUGUACCACUGAUUUCACAGAUUACUUAUUUAUUAAAUAGAUGAAACAAAAUUAUAGCUGUCCCUUUUCAAUAUUUAAAAUUUUUAAGAUAAUGCCUUUAAAAUGCACAGAACAUGAAUGCAGGAGCU